CCUACGGGAGGCUGCAGUGGGGAAUAUUGGACAAUGUGGGCAACCCUGAUCCAGCCAUGCCGCGUGUGUGAAGAAGGCCCUCGGGUUGUAAAGCACUUUCAGUGAGGAAGAACGCCUGGUGGUUAAUACCCAUCAGGAAAGACAUCACUCACAGAAGAAUCACCGGCUAACUCCGUGCCAGCAGCCGCGGUAAUACGGAGGGUGCGAGCGUUAAUCGGAAUUACUGGGCGUAAAGCGCGCGUAGGUGGCUUGAUAAGCCGGUUGUGAAAGCCCCGGGCUCAACCUGGGAACGGCAUCCGGAACUGUCAAGCUAGAGUGCAGGAGAGGAAGGUAGAAUUCCCGGUGUAGCGGUGAAAUGCGUAGAGAUCGGGAGGAAUACCAGUGGCGAAGGCGGCCUUCUGGACUGACACUGACACUGAGGUGCGAAAGCGUGGGUAGCAAACAGGAUUAGAUACCCCUGUAGUC
rnacentral:rRNA from 1 species